GUGGGGAAUCUUCCGCAAUGGACGAAAGUCUGACGGAGCAACGCCGCGUGAGUGAUGAAGGUCUUCGGAUUGUAAAGCUCUGUUAAUCGGGACGAAAGAGCCUAGUGUGAAUAAUGCUAGGAAGUGACGGUACCGGAAUAGAAAGCCACGGCUAACUACGUGCCAGCAGCCGCGGUAAUACGUAGGUGGCAAGCGUUGUCCAGAAUUAUUGGGCGUAAAGCGCGCGCAGGCGGAUCUGCCAGUCUGUCUUAAAAGUUCGGGGCUUAACCCCGUGAUGGGAUGGAAACUACAGAUCUAGAGUAUCGGAGAGGAAAGUGGAAUUCCUAGUGUAGCGGUGAAAUGCGUAGAUAUUAGGAAGAACACCAGUGGCGAAGGCGACUUUCUGGACGAAAACUGACGCUGAGGCGCGAAAGCCAGGGGAGCGAACGGGAUUAGAAACCCGAGUAGUCCC
rnacentral:rRNA from 1 species